CUCUAGGGCUGCCAGGGCCGGCCAGAGCCGGCUUUGUCCUGGAUGAUGCAGCCUGUUCCUGACCGCCUACACAGAAGAGAAGUCAUCAAUACAUGAUUUACAAAUCCUUGGUUCUUAUUCACUAAAGCAAACCACCACAAUGGCAUCCGCAGAAACAGCGAAUAUGACUGAGCUUGCAAAGCCUUGUGUCAGCCCUCAACUGGAACAGGAAGGAGUUUAUUGACAAAUACAUUUUCCACACACUACA